rnacentral:rRNA from 1 species
AGAAUCAACGCUGGCGGCGUGCCUAACACAUGCAAGUCGAACGAGAAAGGGGAGCAAUCCCUGAGUACAGUGGCGACCGGGUGAGUAACACGUGACUAACCUACCCUCGAGUGUGGAAUAACAUCGGGAAACCGAUGCUAAUACCGCACAACAUCGCAAGAUCAAAAGGAGUAAUCCGCUUGAGGAGGGGGUCGCGGCUGAUUAGCUAGUUGGCGGGUAAUGGCCCACCAAGGCGAAGAUCGGUA